rnacentral:rRNA from 1 species
CUUGCUCUCGAACAGGGUUAGCGGCGGACGGGUGAGUAACACGUAGGUAACCUGCCUGCAAGACCGGGAUAACAUUCGGAAACGAAUGCUAAGACCGGAUACGCAAGCCUGGGGCAUCUCAAGGCUUGGGAAACACGGAGCAAUCUGUGGCUUGCGGAUGGGCCUGCGGCGCAUUAGCUAGUUGGUGGGGUAACGGCCUACCAAGGCGACGAUGCGUAGCCGACCUGAGAGGGUGAACGGCCACACUGGGACUGAGACACGGCCCAGACUCCUACGGGAGGCAGCAGUAGGGAAUCUUCCACAAUGGGCGCAAGCCUGAUGGAGCAACGCCGCGUGAGUGAGGAAGGCCUUCGGGUCGUAAAGCUCUGUUGCCAGGGAAGAAUAAGAGCCAGUUAACUGCUGGUUCGAUGACGGUACCUGAGAAGAAAGCCCCGGCUAACUACGUGCCAGCAGCCGCGGUAAUACGUAGGGGGCAAGCGUUGUCCGGAAUUAUUGGGCGUAAAGCGCGCGCAGGCGGUUCUUUAAGUCUGGUGUCUAAGUGCGGGGCUCAACCCCGUGACGCACUGGAAACUGGGGGACUUGAGUGCAGAAGAGGAGAGCGGAAUUCCACGUGUAGCGGUGAAAUGCGUAGAGAUGUGGAGGAACACCAGUGGCGAAGGCGGCUCUCUGG